rnacentral:lncRNA from 1 species
GUAUGGAGUUCCAGCUGCCCCCAGUGCUACCUGCUUGGUAAAACCAAGAGGCUUCUCUCACCAUUCUCCCACCCUUCCCAAAGGGAGACCAGAUCUCAGCUCAGGGGAUCCCGCCAGCCCCAAGCAAGCCAGGCAGUGUCCUGGUGUGGCAGCUCACAGGCCCUGGCAGUGCAUUUCAAGGGUGGUGCUGCUUCCUGCCCGUCUGUUUGGGAGCACAUUCAGGAGACAUGAGCAGAUGUUUGGCAAAUGUUCAACCUUGUCCAUGUCAGCCAACAAUAACACAGCGCAGAGACGAUGCAGGGAUGCAGGAAGGGAGGAUACUUGCUUAGCAGCUAGGGAUGGCCACAGGAGACACCAUCUCCAGCUCCUUCUGGGUGGGAGGGAGGCAGAGUGUUCAUGCAUGACUUGCAUGCGUGAGUUAGAGCAUGGGACGCACAGUGCCAGUAUUCUAGGGUGGAGUCCUGGGGGGAUCCGCCUGUUUUUCUCAGCUAACCAGACAAAGCCCACAACCCCAAUGCCAGCCUGGCUGCCCAGGGAGGCCUGCAGAAGCUGCAAGAAUUUGGGUUUAUCAGAAAGGGAGGGCCUGGGCAGGACAGGCUAAAAUGUGGCCCACGAUCCUCUCCUGGACACAAGAGGGCAUCUCGAAUGCUCUUCCCACAGGGACUGGACAUUUCUCUAAUCUUUUUCAGCACAGGGCUCCGG